rnacentral:misc_RNA from 1 species
UUAUGAUAUCCUUAUGGUUCAUAUAAACACAUGAUAGUGUUGUGUGAUGUACAUGGGUUGAUUAGUCGACGACUCAAAACUAUAAAGACUAAAGAAUAAAUCUAGUAUUCCAAGUCUGUCUGCUGGUUUGUUGUUUGGAUCACUACUUGGGUAUGGUGCAUAUCAAACAACAAAAAAUCCUAAUAACUUGGCCCUUUCAUUGGGUACGAGUGCAGUUCUUGGAGGAAUAAUGGGUGUUCGUUAU